rnacentral:rRNA from 1 species
UACAGAGGUCCCAAGCGUUGUUCGGAUUCACUGGGCGUAAAGGGUGCGUAGGUGGUGGGGUAAGUCGGAUGUGAAAUCUCCGAGCUCAACUCGGAAAUGGCAUUGGAAACUACCCUGCUAGAGGGUCGGAGGGGGGACUGGAAUGCUUGGUGUAGCAGUGAAAUGCGUAGAUAUCAAGCGGAACACCAGUGGCGAAGGCGAGUCUCUGGACAUUUCCUGACGCUGAGGCACGAAAGCCAGGGGAGCAAACGGG